rnacentral:rRNA from 1 species
UACGAAGGGUGCAAGCGUUACUCGGAAUUACUGGGCGUAAAGCGUGCGUAGGUGGUUCGUUAAGUCUGAUGUGAAAGCCCUGGGCUCAACCUGGGAAUUGCAUUGGAUACUGGCGGGCUAGAGUACGGUAGAGGGUGGCGGAAUUCCCGGUGUAGCAGUGAAAUGCGUAGAGAUCGGGAGGAACAUCCGUGGCGAAGGCGGCCACCUGGACCAGUACUGACACUGAGGCACGAAAGCGUGGGGAGCAAACAGGAUUAGAAACCCCUGUAGUCC